AGAAUUCCCAAAAAGAAGAUAUAUGUACUACUAUAUGUAAUACUUUAAACAAUAAAAAAAUAAAAAAAAAUAAAAAGAAUUCCCAAGGAAAACAGGAAGGAAAUGAAGAUAACCAGAAAUUGACUGUUUACUGUUCCUUUUCCCAGUAACUGAAGUUCUUAGAGCACAGGGUCAUAUUGCUAUAUCCACUGAUGAAGAGUGUGCCUGGCUCUCAAUGAGCUCAAUAUUUAGCAACUUUUAACUUUCCCAAAGGUAGGCCUUCUCUCCUUUGGGCUCCCACAGUAGGCUGCUAUCUUGGAGUUUAUUCAAGUAUUGGAACCACUUAAGUUUUCCACAUCAAAAAAAGUCCUCUUAAUAACAAGUAUUUGUUUGCCACUCAGAAUGUGCCAGGUGAUUGGCAUUAAUCCACUUAAUCAUUACAACUUCUCUUGGAUAUUCUUUUUCAGAAAUUGAGGCCGAGAAAGGUUAAGUGACCAAGGUCGUGGAGCGAACUCAUCACACUUUCAAGAUUUGGUUGCACACAAUCCUCCUUUCCCGCACACAAGCUCUUUCCAGUGAAUUCAGGGGCGAGGCUCGCUUGCCACCUUUGUACCCACAGCUCCUAACCUAGCUACUGGCACCGAGUAGCUCAGACAAACCAGGCAUUACUUGCGUUCUGUUGUUUGUAAAGUUUCCUUUUGUGGGUGGGCCAUAGACAGACGCGCUCCGGACUAGCCCGCAACCGAGCUGUGGAAAGAAAUCUGGAAGAAUUUGGGACCCGGCUCGCCUUUACGUCUCUCUAACCUCCCACUCUAUGGUUGGCUUGUAACCACUCUAUAUUCUGGAGGACUCAGCGAGCGCGACCAAUCAUUAGGCCAGUUCCCAGGCGCGUGACCGGAAAUUUGACUCGCCAUUGGUUAAUACUAGUAAGGCCCGCCUCACCACCUCCUGCCUGCUUCUUUAAGGAGGAGCCCUGGGAGUCUCUCGGUCUCUCGGCGGCAGUAAAGCUUGCGAGGUCCGGCCGCCCAAGGACGUCGGAUCCAUUGUCCUCCCAGCGCUGCGACCCUUCCCUGAAGGCUCCCAAUAAAACAGAUUGUUCCUA